CUCGGAGCCAGGUUGUCGCUCCGGGGUUCUUUGAUCCACAAGGCGCGGGUAAUGCCGCGCCGGCACAUACACCCCGGAGAGGAAAGUCCGGACACCACAGGGCACGAUGCCGUGCGAGGCUCACGCCAAGCACGGGCGUGGCGGGUCAAUCCCGCCGCGACGGACAGUGUCACAGAAAACAAACCGCCGGACGGGCAACCGUCCGGUAAGGGUGAAAAGGUGGGGUAAGAGCCCACCGCGCCUCCGGCAACGGCGGCGGCACGAAAAACCCCUUCCGGUGCAAGGUAAAAUAGGCAGCUGGGCGGCCCGUCCAUUAGCUGCGGGUAUAUCGCAUCGGAGCGCGUGACGCUUGGUCGCAAGAUCGGCGCGCAGCGCACCGGCAGGCCUUCGGGCUUGAGAGAAAUGACGACCACCGCGCCGCAAGGCGCGCGACAAAAUCCGGCUUACGGCUCCGGGACUA
rnacentral:RNase_P_RNA from 1 species